rnacentral:lncRNA from 1 species
ACUGACUUCGGGAGGGGGUUGCCGGGGAGAGCAAAGGGACAGAGCCAAGCUGCGCAGUCAAACACGGGUUGGGGCGGCAGCUGAAGACGCCAACUUAAAAGCGCGUAGCCAGAACCCAGGCAGCAGUGUGUCCAUUGUCCAGAACUCAUCUGAGAAACUGCCACAGGAAGUGCUGCUCUGCUCCAGUCUGGUCACUGAAAAGGGAGCUCCAGGACCUGCAGGAUGGGGGCAGGCUGUGUCAAAGUCACCAAGUACUUCCUCUUCCUCUUCAAUCUGCUGUUCUUUAUCCUGGGUGCUGUGAUCCUGGGCUUUGGGGUGUGGAUUCUUGCAGACAAGAGCAGCUUCAUUUCUGUCCUACGUAAGGCACCCCCCACCCCGCCCCACAGACAGCCUGCUCUUGA